rnacentral:rRNA from 1 species
ACGCUGGCGGCAGGCCUAACACAUGCAAGUCGAGCGGUAGAGAAAAGCUUGCUUCUCUUGAGAGCGGCGGACGGGUGAGUAAUGCCUAGGAAUCUGCCUGGUAGUGGGGGAUAACGUUCGGAAACGGACGCUAAUACCGCAUACGUCCUACGGGAGAAAGCAGGGGACCUUCGGGCCUCGCGCUAUCAGAUGAGCCUAGGUCGGAUUAGCUAGUUGGUGAGGUAAUGGCUCACCAAGGCGACGAUCCGUAACUGGUCUGAGAGGAUGAUCAGUCACACUGGAACUGAGACACGGUCCAGACUCCUACGGGAGGCAGCAGUGGGGAAUAUUGGACAAUGGGCGAAAGCCUGAUCCAGCCAUGCCGCGUGUGUGAAGAAGGUCUUCGGAUUGUAAAGCACUUUAAGUUGGGAGGAAGGGCAGUUACCUAAUACGUGAUUGUUUUGACGUUACCGACAGAAUAAGCACCGGCUAACUCUGUGCCAGCAGCCGCGGUAAUACAGAGGGUGCAAGCGUUAAUCGGAAUUACUGGGCGUAAAGCGCGCGUAGGUGGUUUGUUAAGUUGGAUGUGAAAUCCCCGGGCUCAACCUGGGAACUGCAUUCAAAACUGACUGACUAGAGUAUGGUAGAGGGUGGUGGAAUUUCCUGUGUAGCGGUGAAAUGCGUAGAUAUAGGAAGGAACACCAGUGGCGAAGGCGACCACCUGGACUGAUACUGACACUGAGGUGCGAAAGCGUGGGGAGCAAAC